AACGAACGCUGGCGGCGUGCCUAACACAUGCAAGUCGAGCGGGAAAGUUCCCUUCGGGGGGCGAGUACAGCGGCGCACGGGUGAGUAACACGUAGGCAACCUACCCCAGAGUCUGGGAUAACCUAUCGAAAGGUGGGCUAAUACCAGAUAAGACCACGACGGCUGCGGCUGUUGGGGUAAAAGAUGGCCUCUGCUUGCAAGCCAUCACUCAGGGAUGGGCCUGCGCGCCAUUAGCUAGUUGGUGAGGUAACGGCUCACCAAGGCGAAGAUGGCUAGCUGGUCUGAGAGGAUGGCCAGCCACACUGGGACUGAGACACGGCCCAGACUCCUACGGGAGGCAG
rnacentral:rRNA from 1 species